GGCCUAAUGGUCUAGUCGUAUGAUUGCCGCUUUGGGAAGACAAUUCUUAAUUGCGGCAGGUCCUGGGUUCAAUUCCCAGUUAGGCCC